rnacentral:rRNA from 1 species
UACAGAGGGGGCAAGCGUUGUUCGGAUUCAUUGGGCGUAAAGGGUGCGUAGGCGGCGCGGUAAGUCGGAUGUGAAAUCUCGGAGCUUAACUUCGAAACUGCAUUCGAUACUGCCGUGCUUUGAGGACUGGAGAGGAGACUGGAAUUUACGGUGUAGCGGUGAAAUGCGUAGAUAUCGUAAGGAAGACCAGUGGCGAAGGCGGGUCUCUGGACAGUUCCUGACGCUGAGGCACGAAGGUCAGGGGGGAGCAAAACGGGG